UACGUAGGGGGCGAGCGUUAUCCGGAAUCAUUGGGCGUAAAGCGCAUGCAGGCGGUCUGGCAAGUUCGGAGUGACAGCCAUCAGCUUAACUGAUGAAGUGCUUCGAAAACUGGCAGACUUGAGGACCAGAGAGGGACAUGGAAUUCCAGGUGGAGCGGUGAAAUGCGUAGAGAUCUGGAGGAACACCAAAGGCGAAGGCAGUGUCCUGGAUGGUACCUGACGCUCAAGUGCGAAAGCCAGGGGAG
rnacentral:rRNA from 1 species